UACGUAGGGGGCGAGCGUUGUCCGGAUUUAUUGGGCGUAAAGAGCUCGUAGGCGGUUUGUCGCGUCUGCUGUGAAAACCUAAGGCUCAACCUUGGGCUUGCAGUGGGUACGGGCAGACUAGAGUGCGGUAGGGGUGACUGGAAUUCCUGGUGUAGCGGUGGAAUGCGCAGAUAUCAGGAGGAACACCGGUGGCGAAGGCGGGUCUCUGGGCCGAUACUGACGCUGAGGAGCGAAAGCGUGGGGAGCGAACAGG
rnacentral:rRNA from 1 species